UUAAUUUAAUAAGGGCGCAUGGCGGAUGCCUUGGCAUUAGAAGACGAUGAAGGACGCGACAAACAGCGAUAUGCUUCGGGGAGCAGUAAGUACGCUUCGAUCCGGAGAUCUCCGAAUGAGGAAACUCACUAGUGGUAAUGCACUAGUAUCAUUAACUGAAUACAUAGGUUAAUGAGGACAACCCAGUGAACUGAAACAUCUUAGUAACUGGAGGAACAGAAAGAAAAAUCGAUUUCCUUAGUAGUGGCGAGCGAAACGGAAAGAGCCCAAACCGACUUUAGAGUCGGGGUUGUAGGACCUCUCUAUAAGAGUUACAAAUUCAUAACAUAGUUGAACUUUUCUGGAAAGUUAGACGAAACAAGGUGACAGUCCUGUAAACGAAAUGUUAUGAACUCUUUGAGGUAUCCUGAGUACAACGAGACACGAGAAAUCUUGUUGGAAUCUGCGGGGACCAUCCCGUAAGGCUAAAUACUCUCUAAUGACCGAUAGUGAACAAGUACCGUGAGGGAAAGGUGAAAAGAACCCCGGGAGGGGAGUGAAAUAGAAACUGAAACCGUAUGCUUACAAAAAGUUCGAGCACAUUAAUGUGUGAGAGCGUGCCUUUUGCAGAAUGAACCGGCGAGUUAUUGUAUUAUGCAAGGUUAAGUCGAACAGAUGGAGCCGAAGCGAAAGCGAGUCUGAAUAGGGCGCUUAAGUAUGAUGCAAUAGACCCGAAACCGAGUGAUCUAGCCAUGAGCAGGUUGAAGUUGGGGUAAGACCCAAUGGAGGACCGAACCGAUAUGCCCGGAAACGCGUACGGAUGACUUGUGGUUAGCGGAGAAAUUCCAAACGAACUCGGAGAUAGCUGGUUCUCCCCGAAAUAGGUUUAGGCCUAGCCUUGAUUGAAUCUGCCCGGAGGUAGAGCACUGAAUGUGCGAUGGCGUCGUCUAGAUGUACUGAGUACAAUCAAACUCCGAAUGCUGGGUAGUACUAAUCAGGAGUCACUGUAUGGGUGAUAACGUCCAUACGGGAGAGGAAAAGAAUCCGGAUCGCCAGCUAAGGUCCCAAAAUUUGUGUUAAGUGGGAAAGGAUGUAGAGUUGUCAAAACAGCUAGGAGGUUGGCUUAGAAGCAGCCACCCUUUAAAGAGUGCGUAAUAGCUCACUAGUCGAGUGACACUGCGCCGAAGAUGUACCGGGGCUAAACACAAUACCGAAGCUGCGGACUUGCAUGUAAGUGCAAGUGGUAGGGGAGCGUUCUAAGUGCUGAGAAGGUAGACCGUAAGGACUGCUGGAGCGCUUAGAAGUGAGAAUGCCGGUGUGAGUAACGAAAAUUGGGUGAGAAUCCCAUUCACCGUUUGACUAAGGGUUCCUGGGUAAAGUUCGUCUUCCCAGGGUAAGUCAGGACCUAAGAUGAGGCUGAAAAGCGUAGUCGAUGGACAACAGGUUGAUAUUCCUGUACCACCUAUAUGACUGAAGGAGUGACGGAGAAAGCUAGUGAGAGCCAGUUAAUGGAUUCUGGUCUAAGUGCGUAGGCUAGUAUGUUGGCAAAUCCGCAAUACUAUAACAGCUGAAACAUGAUGGGGAAGAGAGUCUUCGGACAAUCGAACUUUCAUGAUGCUAUGCUUCCAAGAAAAGCUUCUAGGGUUAAUCGUAUAGGUGCCUGUACCGACAACCGACACAGGUGGUCAAGGAGAGUAUCCUAAGGUGAGCGAGAGAACUAUGGUUAAGGAACUCGGCAAAAUGACCCCGUAACUUCGGGAGAAGGGGUGGUCUAGCGAUAGACCCGCAGUGAAUAGGCCCAGGCAACUGUUUACCAAAAACACAGGUCUCUGCUAACACGUAAGUGGAUGUAUAGGGGCUGACGCCUGCCCAGUGCUGGAAGGUUAAAGAGAUUAGUUAGUAUGACGUAAGUCGAUAAUACGAAGCUUUGAACUGAAGCCCCAGUGAACGGCGGCCGUAACUAUAACGGUCCUAAGGUAGCGAAAUUCCUUGUCAGGUAAGUUCUGACCCG
rnacentral:rRNA from 1 species